GUGUUCUCUGUUAAUCUCUCAACAAAAGCUGUGACACAAGUUCAACAGACUAUACAGGGCCAGUGACCUGUCACGUGACGGCCGGCAAAACUGCUAGGUCAAGACUUUUUUGUCCCCCCCACCCCCCCGUUCCACAUGUCAACUUGUGAAUGCCCACGCGUCUCUUGUGUAGAUGUAAAUGAGGACACACACAAAAAAACGUGGCUCUGUUGUGUUUCCACAGGCUGUUUUUUGUGCACUUUGGGUAAACAGAGAAAUCUUAGAAGACGACGUGGGUAGGGAAUCCUUUUUUUUUUUUUUAUGUCCUUAAUGACCUUGUUGUUAUUGAACGGUUGUAGCCGUCGCCACAGUGUUCUCCGUACGUUUACGACACGACGUCCAGCCGUAGCGCGGGCCGCGCUCCGUGCCCCUAACUGCCCUUCCUACUGCCAUUCGUCUCCACAAACACGUUGACAUUUACAUUUAUUGAAAUCCAAUGGGCCCGUGUCGUGUUUUUAUUACGUGACACAGCCGUGACUGUUACUCAGUGGUUGUAAUCUGUCUCCAGUAGCACACGACGAUUAAGUUCAACUGACCGGAACACUGCGAUGCACUUUUACGGCAUUAUUGUUUUUUUAUAUUUCAGUUUCUCCACAGCGUAUAUAUAUAUACAUAUAUAUAUAUAUAUAUAUAAUAAUACUGUGUUUAUAGAUGUAUUUACGGAGCAGGCGGAGAGAGCAUACCUCAUUACGGUGAAAAUGACGACCAAAUGGCUCGUUAUGUUGAGGAGGGUCGUUAAAAGCAUAACCAGAUAUAUGAUAACUGUCGAUGUGCGUUCUGUGUGUCCGUGUUCUUAAAUGUCCGACUACUGCUGUAAUGACUGUUUUGUCUUUUGUCCAGCGUGUGAAACUGAUCCCAGUGACCUGUGAACGAAAAAGGCGAAACAGAGGACAUCGUAAUAACGGCGAGCACUGGGAACUCUUGUUUGGUUUUUUGUGUGUGUGCGUCGACGUCAGACUCUUCCUCGUUGUAGCUUGUGUGUACUCGUCUCGCGCCAAACACUGACUGCCAAUAAAACAACAAUAUCCAAAAUGAGAGAUUACCAUGAUUUUUGGGACGGGCUGUCUGAGAAGAGGCGUACGCGUGGCAAUUUUGGCUCCUGCUGCCAGACAUGUAACCGGCUGCUUGGCCCAGUUUCCUGGCGUCAGACACCGCGCUGAUACAGUCGCCGUC